rnacentral:rRNA from 1 species
AUUGAACGCUGGCGGCAGGCCUAACACAUGCAAGUCGAGCGGAAACGAGUUAACUGACCCUUCGGGUGACGUUAACGGCGUCGAGCGGCGGACGGGUAAGUAAUGCCUGGGAAAUUGCCCUGAUGUGGGGGAUAACCAUUGGAAACGAUGGCUAAUACCGCAUAAUAGCUUCGGCUCAAAGAGGGGGACCUUCGGGCCUCUCGCGUCAGGAUAUGCCCAGGUGGGAUUAGCUAGUUGGUGAGGUAAUGGCUCACCAAGGCGACGAUCCCUAGCUGGUCUGAGAGGAUGAUCAGCCACACUGGAACUGAGACACGGUCCAGACUCCUACGGGAGGCAGCAGUGGGGAAUAUUGCACAAUGGGCGCAAGCCUGAUGCAGCCAUGCCGCGUGUGUGAAGAAGGCCUUCGGGUUGUAAAGCACUUUCAGCAGUGAGGAAGGCGGGUACGUUAAUAGCGUGCUCGUUUGACGUUAGCUGCAGAAGAAGCACCAGCUAACUCCGUGCCAGCAGCCGCGGUAAUACGGAGGGUGCGAGCGUUAAUCGGAAUUACUGGGCGUAAAGCGCAUGCAGGUGGUUCGUUAAGUCAGAUGUGAAAGCCCGGGGCUCAACCUCGGAACUGCAUUUGAAACUGG